CAUAGCCUGUUGUUUGUUUGAUUUCAAUCAAGAUGGAUACAUCAGAACUUUACAUGACUGGUUACAGAUUAUAAGAAUACUUGGAUUAAUUGACAGAACUAAACAUGACUUGGAGACCUAGAGAGAACGAACGCGGUAAACAUAAUCUGCCAACCCCAAAUAACUUGGGAACAAGAUAGGGAGAAGUAGAAGAAUACUAACCUGGAUGUAACGAGCUUAUCAACAAUACCUUCGUAGAGCACUUCGAGUAGCAAGAUCACCACAAUUCGGAGUGUUUGGUGUCGGAGGUGUAAUUGGCGGAAUCUCACCGUACCCUGGAGGUUACGGUCCUGGCUACGGUCCUGGCUACGGUCCUGGCUACGGUUACGGAGGCUUUGGGCACCACCAUCAUCACCACUUUAGAUAUGGAUACCCCGGCUUUGGGGGCCCCGGUUACGGUCAGCCCGGCUUCGGUGGACCCGGAUUUGGUGGGCCCGGUUACGGUGGGCCUGGUUAUGGAUACGGUGGUAAUCCGGGAUUGAGUAUAUCCAAAAGUACAUCAAUUAGUUUUGGAAAUGGAGGUGGUGCUCAGUCCAGUGCAAGUUCAAACGCUGGUGGUUUCGGAAAAUGAUAUUUAUGUGAAUUAUACAAAAAAACCUGUGAUUAUGUUAUAAUAAAUUACUUUGUAUUAAAA